UACAGAGGGUGCGAGCGUUGUCCGGAAUCACUGGGCGUAAAGGGCGCGUAGGUGGCGACCCAAGUCGAUGGUGAAAGCUCGCCGCUCAACGGCGAGUCGGCCACUGAUACUGGGUUGCUGGAGCACUGUAGAGGCAGAUGGAAUUCCGGGUGUAGCGGUGGAAUGCGUAGAGAUCCGGAAGAACACCGGUGGCGAAGGCGGUCUGCUGGGCAG
rnacentral:rRNA from 1 species